GAUGAACGCUGGCGGCGUGCCUAAUACAUGCAAGUCGAGCGAACGGACGAGAAGCUUGCUUCUCUGAUGUUAGCGGCGGACGGGCGAGUAACACGUGGAUAACCUACCUAUAAGACUGGGAUAACUUCGGGAAACCGGAGCUAAUACCGGCUAAUAUUUUGAACCGCAUGGUUCAAAAGUGAAAGACGGUCUUGCUGUCACUUAUAGAUGGAUCCGUGCUGCAUUAGCUAGUUGGUAAGGUAACGGCUUACCAAGGCAACGAUGCGUAGCCGACCUGAGAGGGUGAUCGGCCACACUGGAACUGAGACACGGUCCAGACUCCUACGGGAGGCAGCAGUAGGGAAUCUUCCGCAAUGGGCGAAAGCCUGACGGAGCAACGCCGCGUGAGUGAUGAAGGUCUUCGGAUCGUAAAACUCUGUUAUUAGGGAAGAACAUAUGUGGAAGUAACUGUGCCCAUCUUGACGGUACCUAAUCAGAAAGCCACGGCUAACUACGUG
rnacentral:rRNA from 1 species